rnacentral:rRNA from 1 species
GACGAACGCUGGCGGCGCGCCUAACACAUGCAAGUCGAGCGGAGAUACUUGAAGGAAGUUUUCAGACGGAAUUUGGGUAUUUUAGCGGCGGACGGGUGAGUAACGCGUGAGUGACCUGUCUUCCACAGGGGGAUAACGUACCGAAAGGUACACUAAUACCGCAUGAGACCACAGCACUGCCUGGUGCAGGGGUCAAAGGAGCAAUCCGGUGGAAGAUGGACUCGCGUCCGAUUAGAUAGUUGGUGGGGUAACGGCCUACCAAGUCAGCGAUCGGUAGCCGACCUGAGAGGGUGAUCGGCCACAUUGGAACUGAGAGACGGUCCAAACUCCUACGGGAGGCAGCAGUGGGGAAUAUUGGGCAAUGGGGGAAACCCUGACCCAGCGACGCCGCGUGAGGGAAGAAGGUUUUCGGAUUGUAAACCUCUGUUCUUGGUGAAGAGGGAAAGACGGUAGCCAAGGAGGAAGCCCCGGCUAACUACGUGCCAGCCGCCGCAGUAA